GCCAAUAACCCCUGCAUCUUAAUAACCCUAAAACUUGGCCAAAAGCUUCGCGAGACUCUCUCACUCUCCCCUCUUACCGUCAUUCUUAUCUAUGCCAUUUCUUGAAGAAUGUCACAAAAUGACCGCCCGGAGGCGCCGUCCCCGGCGACAGCGGCAAACGGCUCCGCGGCGGCGAAGGAGGAGAAUCCAGCUACGAGGGCGUUGGUUUCUUCGAGCAAGGCUGAGGCUGAAUCCGAACAAGGAGCACAAAGCGGAGGAGUACGAAGACUUGCAAUUGAUGUACUGCCCAGCGGUUUUCACCGCGCUGGAGAGGUACCUUCCGCCGAACAUGCUCAAUGCGCGACGAACACAAGAUUUCUCCAACUGAAAUUCGCGGUGUGCUUGGAUCUGUUAAUCAACUUUUUAUAUGUAUUGGGAUUCUUGCAGUAUUAGUAGCCGGUUUGCCUCUUGCAGGAAAUCCUAUAUGACAAUGUUCGGAAUUUUGGUUAUGCAUGACUUAACAGCAGCAAGUCAAGGUUCUUCUGAACCUGAAGCAAAAUGGUUUGAUCUUUUUAGUAGCCGGUAUCGGAAAGUUGUCAGUGUUGGAGCAGCACUUUUCUUGUUCCAGCAGUUUGCCGCAUCAAUGGAAGAUUUGGAACCCUUACGGCUAUUCCAAUACACCAUAUGGAUAUUUAUUCGUUGCAAUCCUGAGGCUUAUAGAUCGGCCUGAAGCUUUUGUUUCCGGAAUUUUUUAAAAAAUUUUGUUUUCCCUGGUAAUCAGAUCUUUUCUUGUUUUUAUCGAGACUUCCUCCUUGUCAUGGUUUUGGAGAUUGCAGGAGGAGUCAUGGAUGAACUUGCAAGCCCUAUAAGUCCAGUUUUGGAGAUUUGGAGAUUGCAGGAGGAGUCAUGGAUGAACUUGCAGGAGGAGUCAUUGUGUUUCUGCCUUUGCCACUAUUUGAUGUUUAUGCUGCACUUAUUGAGCUGCUCAUGUUUAUUCGGAAGCUAGGAGGGUGCAUGCUUUCAAUGACGUUAUGUCAUCAAAUCUAAGGUUUAGUCACACAAAAUUCUAAAUCAACUGGAUAUGGGUCGCGGGGUCAGUGUGGGUGGUGGUCAACUGGAUAUAGUCUAAGAUCUAUAUAUGAUCUUGCUUGCUUAGAGGAUGAAGUUGAUUUCCUCACAGCUCAAUCAGAGCAAGACCGACUGAAAAGGAAUAAUGUCAAAUUCUGGCAUGUUUUUCGAUCAAAGGAAAUCAAAUUGGCUUUCCUUGUUGGAGGAGGACUUCUGGUAAUAAUGCUUGUUUCCUUUUCUUUUAUUCUUUAAUCUUCUUUUAAAGUUUUUUUACAAGAUAACACAUGUUUUGGUUUGCGGCUUUGAGUAAUAAGCUUAAAGAAAAUAAAGCUAGUGUUGCCUAGAAUGGAAAGUGAAGCUUCAAAAUAAUUUAUCAAUUUUGUAUUUGGUUUUGCCAUCU